UGCCCCCCCCCCCCCCCACUCUCAUCCUGCAGUGCUGUGAGUUGGCGCCAUGCCAGAGAAUGCUGAUAUCAGCUGGUAGACUGGAGGCUGCCAACAUGGCGAAGUGCAAAGAAGCCAAGGCACAAGAGAAAGAAAACACGCGGCGCUUUUACAAAAAGGACAUCAACCCAAACCUGCUGUGUGUGCGCGCGCGUGCAUGUGGGUGCACGCGUGCGUCCGUGCGUGUGUGUGUGCGUGUGCGCACGCAUGAGUGUAAGCUAAAUGUAUCUGCAGCAUUUUCAUAAGCCCCGGCUGGGCUUUGUUCUGCCAUGACGGAUCCUGUCACUACGGUGCCGCCGGGCCAACAUGGUGCCAAGCGGCGGCCGUGGAGGUGGAAGGAAAGCCCCCAGAACCGUCAGAAACGGAUCAGCGCAAAAUGGCAGAACCUAAAAAAAUGAAAUGCCUCACAUCCUCAGAACGUCAGCUCGGGAGAUUGAUUUCUCAAAUGGCAAUUUAGUUCGUCCGUUUGAAAACGGAAUGACUUUUUUAUUCGUACUUCAGUCCCAUCAGUGCUCAUCACAGUGUGAGCACUUUUGUACCAGCACUGGGGCGCCACCUUAAGAGGUUCUACAAAGAAUCCGAAUCACUCCUCCACUUUUGCAGAAGUGGUAAACAGUGAGCAUCAACUGGACCUAUGAGGAACCUAUCAGUCAUGAAGACGAUGGUCCGAAGGACGCCGAUUUUAAUGAGAACAUUCAAUCCGCAAAUGGCUGCGCUCAGUCACACAAUUUGACCACCUCCACUAAAAGCUUGUGUCCGCCUCCAGGGGGCGCCAAUACAAUAUGAUGUCAUCGUGUAAAUAUCCAGAGUUGAUCCGCAAGUGCAGGUUAGCGCACGUCUGGCUCAGCGCUUCCGUACGCUGUAGCGGAAUUCUAAAAAUGCUUCGGAAAGGUGCUGAGACGACAUCAGUGUACGUUACUCCUGACGAACCAAGUCAAAAUUCUUAAGGUUGCUCCGAGCAAGAGGCGACCGAUGACGACUUGCGCAUAAGCUAACGAUAUGUGACAAAACAAGAACUUACGAUCUUCACGUUGGACGACACCAUAGUAGCCAAUACAUUAGGACAUAAGAAAUCAAAUGUGAACUUAUUCCCUUCAAAAAAUAAAAAAUAAAACUAGCGGACCAUACACUUUGCACACUUUUCAUUUAGUUGGUGACAAGCUGAUUGAAAGGAAUGCGUCAAAACAAGCACGCUAGGAGACUGACACCAGCAAAACGCUUUCUGGUGAUGUCACUUCGGAAAAGCAAAUACAAAUUCAUUUUCAACAGUUCUGUCCUUUCGCAAAAGUAGCGCGUUGACCUCAUGACCUUUUCCACAAAUGUUAAGGAAGGGUGCAAGAAAGUUUUGGAUUGGACUUUUUCCCCUUGCAUCUACGCCACUAUUUUCUGCUGUUGCUUAUUUUCUGAAAGAUUUUUUCAGGCUUCUGAUUGGCCACCAUGACGUCCACAUGUUGCUUUGGAACUCAAGUUGGAGAACAUCUACGAGGGCACCGCUUAGUGAGGGGGCUUCAAAUGUUACAAUACCGACAGGCCAAGCCAGGAAUCACAGACGCACAUACACACUCAAGGAGCCACCUGGACAGCGUGCACAAAGACGUCCGUGUCAUCUUCAACAAGAGCAUACGCACACACCUGAGCAUGAACUCUCUGCUACAUCCCAAAACAAAAAUUAAUGAAAGCAAAGAGUCGAGAACGAGGACAGAAGUCACGUGACUAGAACUUUACAGAGGAACUUCCUCCUGAUUUGCGUCAUCACGUUAAAACAUUUCCACGAAAGAAGACAAAUCGUUUACAAAGUAAAGCGAGCCGAUAAGUGAACUGAAGUCAUGUGAGACGCCGGCUCCAUUUUGCUCCCCAAAUGUUCGAGGGCAGCACAAGGAGGAGGAGAAGGAACGGGUUAGGAGGAGGAGGCAGGAGGAGGAAUCGCGGAUCACUUGUAAAAAAAAAAAAAAUCUCCACAAACGAACGAAACGAAUUCAAGUUCCAUGCGGACCAGUCAGCACACUUCUUAUUUUUCUCCUUACGUGCAACGUCCGGAACAAUCGGAUUAUGCAUGUGCGUGUUGGCGCGCGCCCUCCCUGCCUCCGCAACAAAAGACUGAUUGCCGCAAAUCUGCGUGAAUGCUCGCAAUUUAAGCGCCACAUGUAAUUUGAGCUCCGGUGACUUGGGUUUCGUUUCCCUCGCGCAACUUGCUCAAAGUUAGCGAAGACAAGAACGGGAGAAAGUCCCAUAUGUGACUUGUGUGUCACGCGUGUCGCGCUCACAAACAUGACGCACGCGCGCGCGCGCGCGCAUUUGCAGAGGUGCGCGCGCGAGGCUCCACGCAUGAAAAGUGCUUUUGAGCACAAAGCCACGAGCUGACAAUAAGCUGCAAGAAAACGCGUUCGGAGAGCAAAGUGCACGUCGAGCUCAUCGCGCCGUCCCAAAUAUGGCAGCUGACACGCAGGAGGGACAAGAACAAGAAAAAAGCGUUUCAGUUGUCACACGGAUGGAGGGUAGCAGCAACAACUUCUUUCAAGAUGACAAUUCAAGAGUGAGGUCAAAGUGGCAAGCCGGAAUAUCGGCUGGUGUGGAAACAAAAUGAGCCUUUUUCCCAAGUCA